AACAAGGCGUACCUGCGGACCUGCGGAAGGAUCAUUAUCGAGUUAGGGUCGUUCUGGCCCGAACUUCCAACCCCUUGUUUAUCACACCAUGUUGCUUUGGUAGGCCCGCCCCUCCUUGGGGGGCCGCCGGAGGUUAUCUUACCUCUGGCCCGUGCCUGCCAGUAGCCUUAUUAAAUUCUUUUUUAACUGUGUCGUCUGAGUGGCCUUUUAAAUCGUAAAAACUUUUAACAAUGGAUCUCA
rnacentral:misc_RNA from 1 species